GUCACAGCCAUCUGGUUAAGUGCGCAUUAACUUUUUAUUUUUGUCAAAGUGACUUACGCCAUAACUCAUUGGAUAUGGUCGCUUUCUGCAUUGAUAAAAAAAUGGAGUUGCUGCAAAACUAUUACCUAUAUUGAAUAAAAAUCCAGUUCAUUUUAUUGUAAACGCGAUAAAAAAUUAUAUAACGGUACUGUAAGACAGUCAAGCAUCAUCAUUUUAUCGACAUCAACAUAGUAUUAAAACUGGUCGUCGAACUCCGAAUUAGAAGCCUGUCCGAAAGCAAUCUUGUGACACAAGCGAUCUGACGACGCAAAACCGAUGGACCAUUGUCAGGACACAAUGGGUCGUUCAGUGGACCGGUCUUUGUUGAGUCGGCUAAAUGAUUGACUGCGAUUUGUAGAAGUUUUACUCUAUUGAAAAGGAUAUUAGUCAUGAGGUUUAAAUGAGUGUGAAAUAUGAAACGUAGGUGAGCGUACUCCGAUCUUAAAAAGGUGUUGCUGGUGUCGAUGGCUGACGUUAAUCGCUUACCAUCAGGCGAUUCGUCUACUCGUUUGCCUCAUAUGUCAUAAAAGAACAGUCUGUUUAUAGAUUGCAGUAGAUUUGUAUUAGUCUGACAAUAUUUUCAUUAAAAUCCAAUAACAUCUCUAGUAAAUAAAUCUGAUAGAUAAACGGGGACUACUGUGACUAGGAUUUGCAAUCCGGGUCCAAAAUGUAUGAAAUUAUCCGGAUCUGGAUCCGGAUACCCGGAACUUUCCAUAUAUUUCAGAUCCAUCUUGCAAACCCUAACUGUGACUCUUCAAAAUUAUCAAGUGCUCAAAUGCACAAUUGCUACGGAUUACCAGUUUAAUUUCAUGUUGGGAUUAUGCCUGCUUAGUAACUUCGCAGUAUUACAAAACAUAAAUAUUUAGGUUCGAUAGUUGGUCAGUUAGGUACAAAAAAUAGAGUCCUACAUGCAUAGGUACGUCUGCUUUAUGUGUCACUCUACAUAAAUAUGGAACUAAUUUAAAUGACGAUAAAUGCAUCUUGUUAUGGAGAGCAUUUUUUUUAUUUACAUGUGGUUAGCUUAUAUUUAUUUUCCUUUCUUUACAUAUUUUAUAUUUCUUGCUCAUAAGACAAACGUACCGUUUAAAAGGUAGGUUUAAAGCCAUGAACUGUCUCUGUCAGCCAGGGUUUAUUGUUUUGUUAAUUUAUUGUAAAUUAAAUUGAGUAAGAAUUUUAUUUCAAUAUAUGCUGAACCAUUUUUGUUUCA